rnacentral:sRNA from 1 species
UUACCCAAGCCUUGAAAACACACAUGUACCGUCACAUGGUCCCGGGUGCCGUUGGUUCGCGUCAAGUUCGCGCCGAGGGUCGGAUCCAUGGGGUACAUGGAGGCCUAAC